AGAGUUUGAUCAUGGCUCAGAAUCAACGCUGGCGGCGUGCCUCAGACAUGCAAGUCGAACGCGAAAGUCCCCUUCGGGGGACAAGUAGAGUGGCGCACGGGUGAGUAACACGUAGGUAAUCUACCUUCGGAUGGGGAAUAACAACCGGAAACGGUUGCUAAUACCGCAUAAUGCAGCGGCACCUAAUGGUGACAGUUGUUAAAGCGGGGGGUCGUAAGACCUCGCGUCUGAAGAGGAGCCUGCGGCAGAUUAGCUAGUUGGUAAGGUAAUGGCUUACCAAGGCAAUGAUCUGUAGCCGGCCUGAGAGGGCGGUCGGCCACACUGACACUGACAUACGGGUCAGACUCCUACGGGAGGCAGCAGUCGGGAAUUUUGGGCAAUGGGCGAAAGCCUGACCCAGCAACGCCGCGUGAAGGAUGAAAUCCCUCGGGAUGUAAACUUCGCAAGAACGGGAAGAAUAAGUAAGAGCUAACAUCUCUUAUGAUGACGGUACUGUUUGUAAGCUCCGGCUAACUCCGUGCCAGCCGCCGCGGUAAUAC
rnacentral:rRNA from 1 species